CAUAGCUUCCAGGCAGUCGCGGAAAGCUUUUUAGCUUUCUGAGGAAAGUCCGGACUCCGAAGGACAGGGAGCUGUCUAAAAGGCAGGUGGGGGCAACCUCACAGAUAGGGCCACAGAGAAUAGACAGCCAAUCCGCCUACCUUAUAAGUAGGGUCAUGGAGGCAAUGGUGAAACGGUGGGGUAAGAGCCCACCAGCAGUAGCGGUGACGCUACUGGCUCGGCAACCCUCUCCCGGAGCAAUUCCAAGUAGGAGGGUGGGUGUGUCCGCCUAUACCCUCGGGUAGGAAGCUUAGAGAAAUGACUGCUAAAACAGAAUCCGGCUUACUCGGAAGCUAUGGCUU
rnacentral:RNase_P_RNA from 1 species